ensembl:lncRNA
CAGGGAGCAGGUCUCGAACCCUCGACAUUCGAGCCCGAUGCCCGGCGUGCCAUCGACUGUGCCGCAAAAGCAUGCUCGUGCGGCAGGGUCGAUUUCCCUGUUAUAAACCCAUUGCCGUUACACUACUCCCUCCUUUCAAAGAGCGCGUCCUCGCGCUAGCUUGCGACUCUACGUCUUACAGGAACGCGCUCACCGGUCAAGCACACGCACUGUCGUCGAUGCGAGGUCCGAUCACUUCUGACACCAGUGUAAUGAAACCAGCAGGGAGCAGGCCUAGAAUCCUCGACCUUCAAGCCGGAGGUCCGGCGCGCUAUCGACUGUGCCGCAAAAGCAUGCUCGUGCGGCAGGGUCGAUUUCCGCGCUUAUAAACCCAGGGUCGUUACAGUAUGUUAGUAACCACAACAGGUAGCCCUACCCAGCAUUAGGAAGAUGAUGCAUUGACACCCUGGAAAGAUAAAAGCAAUCCGUUUAUCAGGCAAAGAGACAGAUUGAGGCCUUCAAUCAAACGGAGGACUGAGAAAUAUGCAUGCACCAGCCUUAUACACCUGAGUCAGAAAGAAGUGACAACUAGUAGAAAAGUGGCUCUUGAUGAUGAAGUCCCCAGUCCAGAUUGAAGAUCCGAGUUUUAAUCCAUUGUAUUGAGGCUUGACUGGAGGAAAUCAUUUUUGUGGCUCUCUAGAAACACACAUUUUGGAGUGCAUGCAUUAAGCAAGCGUUCGACAGGAUUUCUACAGGGCUGUCAGGUAGGCUAGCGGUUAAGAGCAUUGGGCCAGUAACCAAAAUGUCGCUGGUUCAAAUCCCGAGCUGAGUAAAUGAAAUAUGUGAGCAAUGUGCUUAACCCUAAUGGUUCCUGUAAAUUGAUCUGGAUUAGCGCAUCUGCUAAAUGACAAAAAUGUAAAGUUCAGUCAGAGGCUAUACUUCUUCCAUUGGUUGAAUGCUCAUGUAAAUUCUGAAGUUGCCCCUUGAGAACUCCUGGAUAUUUCUCUCAUGUAAAUGUUGUAGUUUUUGCUCUUUUCUUCAUUAACACUGCAUUAUGUUUUUAUUGUGAGAUAGUUAAGAACGUUGUAUUGGAUUUUAUGUGUUUUAUGUGUUAAGACAUUGAAUACAUUUUGUUUAGUAUGUUUAGUUCUCUGUGAGAAGCAAGUACAUUUAAAGUUAUUUGUGAUUUGGUUGAUGUCGAUAAAACAUUUUGAUGUUGUUUAAUACACUACAUUUGCAGCAAACAGUAGAAUGUUCGCCACAAGUUUCUCAGAGUAGUUUGCCAGAACAUCACAAGUUGGCCCAAAUGUGCGCAACAGUUUGCCACAAAAUUAAUUUGCAUGUGAAAAUAUAAGCUUGCUGCAAAUAGGCCAAAGAUUUGCCACAACUCUUUGCCAGAAGCCUGUUUUUUUGGUAAUGGCUAGUUCUCUGGACUUUUACUUUGAUGAAGUAGGCUAGGCUAGGAUAGAAAAUAGGUAUAUGAUCUGAGUCAUUAAAUGUCAGGGGAAAUGAGAUGAUCACUUUUAAAGGGGAACUGCACCUGCUGAUUUGGCCUUGUUUUUUUGGCUUGUUCCUCAAGAAAUCUUGCAAAUAGUGGGCAUCUUGCCAGGCUGUACUGUAUUAUUAGUAAUUAUCAUCACAUUGACGAUGUGUUGAGUGCCAUUCAGAGACGUCAAAAUCAAACCUGUCUGUCUCCAUCACAUCAUCUUGCCAGUCUCCAAGUGCUGGCUCUG